rnacentral:lncRNA from 10 species
AGAUUAAUUGAUUUACUUAGGGUCAGACAUCCUGUAAAUAGAGAGCACCUUACAAAUCUAAAUUUUGUGAAUUAAGGUUUAGGCCUUUUUUAUUAUACCAAAGCUAACCUUCUGUUUUUUUCCUGCUUAUCCUCCUCUAAUUUUUUUCUCACCAUUAUUAGUACUGACUGGUAAAGGAAUCUUCCCUUCAAAACCUCAUGUUAAUUUUCUAUUAUCCUUUGCUACUUAAAAAAUUAAAAACUCAGCACCUACAUUUACUUAGCACUCCAAAAGUAAGUUUAUUGGUUAAAUACUGGCUGUGCACCAAGCAUUGAAAUAAUUGUUUUACAUUCAUUAUCUCUUUUAAUUUAAUGCUUAUUAUAACCAAGUAAAGUAGGUAAUAUCUUGUUGAGAAUUAAGGGCUAAGUAACUUGGUUGCUAUAAAAUAGCGGGAAGAAUUGUCUCAAUCAGGGUUAGCUGACUCUAAAGCUGAUGAUCUUGCAGGCUACCUGGUGCUGUCUCCCAAUUUAGCAGAUACAGACAUCUAUGUUUGCCCCAUCAUAAGUUUUUCACACAGUAUGUUGUAUAGCAGUAACAUCAGUAUUUCCUAUAUCUUUCUCAUAUUUUUAAAAAAACCUCUUUUGUCCAAAUCUCUACUUUAUAAAAAAAAUCACUGCUUUCUACUCUGUUUCUUUAGUUUCCAAUUUUGUGCCAGGGAGUUGACAUUCUUGAACUCUUCAGAAGAAUAAUUACAUUCAUGUAAUAAGCAAAUGUGAUACUGUACCCCUUCCCCACCACCACUUUAACGUGUGUCUUAACCGACUAACAAUUGGUUUGCAAAGGUAAGUUCUAGUGUAUGUUUUCAAUAUUGGUGGGAAUUGCACCUUUGACCUGCCCUUGACUUUUAUGAAUGGCUUAGGGUUCAUUCCGCCAAGCAAGGAAGCUGGCAGGUGGAAAGAGCGCCAUCUACUGAAAUCAUUAAUCGGACAUGGGUCUUUGGUGAUAUUAAUAAAAUGCUCAGAAUGGGAUAGCACCAAACCUUUCAAUUGGGAAAACAAAAUCUAAUUUAGGGAGCUUUUGAAAAAU